rnacentral:rRNA from 1 species
UACAGAGGGGGCAAGCGUUGUUCGGAAUUACUGGGCGUAAAGGGCGCGUAGGCGGCCUGUUAAGUCGAACGUGAAAUCCCCGGGCUCAACCCGGGAACUGCGUCCGAUACUGGAUGGCUUGAAUUCGGGAGAGGGAUGCAGAAUUCCAGGUGUAGCGGUGAAAUGCGCAGAUAUCAGGAGGAACACCGGUGGCGAAGGCGGAUCUCUGGGCCGAUACUGACGCUGAGGAGCGAAAGCGUGGGGAGCGAACAGG